ensembl:lncRNA
GUAAGAUUGUGAUGAGGUGUGUGGAGGGAACAGAUCUGACAUGUUCAGUCGGUUAAGAUUAAACAGGGUGUAUACUGAGUGCUUAAUGACGUCACGCUUUUUAGCUACUAAUAGUGUUGUUGUUGUUUUGUUUGUUUUUUUAAACGCAUCAUAACGGGCAGUUUAACAGCAGAGUCUGCGAUCACACAGUGUGUACUGCUGGAGCCAUUAUCAACCUUCAUGAACGCGAGAAAGAAAGAAAAAAUAAACACUCCUCAGGCCUACUAAUGAAAUAAUUCAGUAUUCAGUAAUUAAGUGUUAGACCGCGGGCGUAAAUCCGAGCAUCUGAAAGGUGAGUUCCACCUUAAACCGGUGUGUGUGUGUGUGUGUGUGUGUGUGUGUGUGUGUGUGUGUGAGUAGGAGGGGGGAGUAGAACCUGACCUACAGUGACACCGCAAAAUGCAUGCUGGAUUAUUCCUUCGGCUUUAUGCUGAACUACUAAUGAGCACUUCUACUGGAAACACAGUCUCAGACCAAACGCACGGUGCGGGGUUUAUUCGCCGCUCCGAGCGCGCGCGCACGUGAACAUGGAGAGGCGAGGGUAGAGCCGUGACCUGAAACACCAGGACCCCCAGCCAGUCGCCUAGGCGCGCGCACACACACACACACACACACACACACACACACACACACACACACACACACACACACACACACACACACACACACACACACACACACACACACACACACACACACACACACACACACAGAGUGGAGGAGAGAAUGAGCGCUGAGGGAAGGGGACAGAGAGAAUAUGAGUGGGGAAUCAGUGCAGGUGUUAUCUGAUACCCAGGAAGUCAGUGACGACGCUUUGACUUCUUUGUUCAUUUAAAAUCCACAAUUGUGCCUGGGAGAACUCGGGAAUAGUGUGAUCCAGACCAGAUGGACUGGCUGACAGAUCUACAUUCUUCAUGUUGUGCACUGGUGUAAUGCUGACUCCUGUUCUGUGUAUGGCACUGGUAGAAUUCACUGUGAAGGCACACUAUCAGUGAAUUACCAUAGGGCCAUAAACAGAGCAGAGAAAGAACCACUGGAUGAUCCCUGUUGAAAGUUUUCCCCCAGUGGAAACAUAGAGCUCUUCUCAACUAAGCUUAAUGCCUUUAUAUAACUCUCUUAUCCUGGCCCAUUUUGGCACUAGCACAUUUUUGCUUCUUUAUAUAUCCAUCGAGCAAUUAUGUGUAGUGCCAAUAUAGGAAAAGAUAAACUGCAGCAUGAUUUUGUCCUCCAAGGGAGUUCAUUCCCAGUGAACUUGAGCAGGAGACAAAAGGACAGUGACGUGCCUGUAUCCCCCUUCAGCCUUCUUUUAGUUUUAUUUUAUAUUGAGUGUAACAUAAGACAUGACAUCUGCGGAGAUGAACUAACGGCUCGUGCUGCUUAGGUGAAGGUCAGUUUAUUUUCAAUGACUUAUGCAAAAAAAUAAAUAUAGUGGUGUUUACAGUGAAUGAUGUACACUGUGUUAAGGUUCAUAUUUACUGUGAUGAAUUUUCCUUCGUCUGUGCUAUUUAAAACGAUCGUUGGAGACUUCUAUUAGAUGAUCAUCAUAAUGUUGUAUUUUAAACUGCUUCUGUUUACUUUCAAUACAUCUAAUCUCUUGAGGUCAGCCAUGUUUUAGAACAAGUAUCUCAACCGUGUUCUGCGCUUUCGUUUCUGCAUUAAAAUCACCAGGCCUGUAUUCGUUCUCCAAGUUUGUGGACCUGUUUCAUUCAUGUUCUUCAUUUUAAGUGUCCUGGUAUUGUAAAUACGGAUAUCAUUUUCGACAUAGCAUGCUUUUUUAGUAUGGAUGUCAUAUGUUUCUCAGCUUCAAGGUUUUAGGAAGACACGGGUAGCUCUCUGGUGGUAUUUGGCAAUAGUAGAACUCACACUGGUAAUGUAAAAAAAGGAUCCGGUGGUUCUAGACUUGCCAACUACUGCUUUAGUGCUCCAGCAGACUCCCCGGUCUUACCUUAGUGCUCCAGCUAAAUCUGUACUACUGGGUUGGGAAAAGAUGGUGUUUAAUGUCCUGUGUUUUCUGACUGUAUAUGCUAAAUAUCUGGAGGGCGGAGCACUGUGUACAUCUAGAGGGGUUUUUUUUCCUGAGCGAAUGAAAGUGUGGCCUGGACUCAAACCUUCCUCAGUCUCAAAACCCCUGAAGCCUCCCUGAAUAUUUCACUGCACAAAUGGCAGCCCUUAAUAUGGAUCUUCAUAGGUCAUGUAUAAUGAUAUUUGUAUUGUCAGCAUCAUACGUAACAAUACUUGUAUCCUUGCAGUAAUAUUUGUAUUAUAAUUUGUGAUAAUAUGUGUUUUAUUAUAGAAUCAUGACAGAAAUGAUCAUUUUGGACUGAAGAGAUAAGAGUUGUACUGUCUUUGCUUGUGAUAUUCGAUUAUAAAUGCCGCACAUCUGUCUUACGCAUGCAAAAUGACUUGACCAUGUUUUAUUAACAGAAGACAUUUUUGUGAAAUGAAAUGAAAAAUGAGAUUUUAAAAAUACACCAAACAGGCAUUGGUGUUGUGUUAAAGCAGGUGAUGCUUACGGAUGAUAUUGAAGAAUAAACACGUUAUCUCUUAUGUGUUUUACAUGAAUAAAUGUCUACACAAUGA